UUAACUCAUUUUUGUAUAGAGUUGGAACGUAUGCUUAGGUUUCCCGCUAGGGGCGCUGUUCCAACUGCAUACAAAUUUGAAUAA
rnacentral:pre_miRNA from 1 species